GUACAACUGAAGAGUCCCAAACAGUAGGACGAAACAGCUGGCUGUCCAGUAC
rnacentral:hammerhead_ribozyme from 1 species